UACGUAGGUGGCAAGCGUUGUCCGGAUUUACUGGGCGUAAAGGGCGUGCAGGCGGUCUGCUAAGUCUAGGGUGAAAGCUCCCGGCUCAACUGGGAGAGGUCCUUGGAUACUGGCGGACUUGAGGGAGGUAGAGGAGAGUGGAAUUCCCGGUGUAGUGGUGAUAUGCGUAGAUAUCGGGAGGAACACCUGUGGCGAAAGCGGCUCACUGGACCACAACUGACGCUGAGGCGCGAAAGCUAGGGGAGCAAACAGG
rnacentral:rRNA from 1 species